CUGCAGCUCACGCAUUACUCCCUCCGCCUGGGGAGUACGGUCGAAAGACUGACACUCAAAUGAAUUGACGGGCGCCCGCACAAGCGGCGGAGCAUGUGGUUUAAUUCAAAGCAACGAGAAUAACCUUACCAUGUCUUGAUCUCCUCUGACUACUCUAGAGAUAGAGCGUUCCCCUUCGAGAGACAGAGUGACAGGGGGUGCAUGGUUGUCGUCAGCUCGUGUCGUGAGAUGUUGGGCUAACUCCCGCAACGCGCGCAAUCCUUGAUCUUAGUUGCCAGCUUUUCCUUGGGCACUCUAAGGUGACUGCCGGUGACAAACCGGAGGAAGGUGGGGAUGACGUCACAUCUUUAUGCCCCUUAUGACCUGUGCUACACACGUGAUACAAUGGAUGGUACAAAG
rnacentral:rRNA from 2 species